GAGAUUUGGCACAGCUCUGGUACCAACAGGAAAACUAGACCUACGAAAGAGUGUCUUUGAGAGGGACUUCAGACGUAUUGAUGAAAGCUGUAGAUGUUUAACAUGCCAGAAAUACAGCAGGGCCUAUCUGCAUUCCAUUGCCACUCGAGAGACUGUUGCAUGCUGCCUAAUCACAACACACAAUCUCCAGUAUCAGAUGGAUCUCAUGCAGGGUAUCAGGGAGGCAAUAUCGAAAAACAGGUACCCUGCAUUUGUGAAAGAUUUCAUGCGAUUACAGUUCCCAGCUGGAAAUUACCCUGAGUGGGCUGUGGAUGCACUGGCCAGUGUUGACAUAAAUUUGAGCUGAUAGAAGUUGUUGUAAAUCUUACACAGGGCACACAUGCACAUACAUAUAAAUAUAAUAUAGAACACUACAUACAGCCUAUAUAAAGCUGGACUGAGAUGUAAACUAGUGUGAAAAUAAAAUGGAAUUUUAUUAUCAA